rnacentral:lncRNA from 1 species
AUGGGACAGCUGGCGAGGCCAAGACUCCAGAUGGCUGGGAUGGCAGAUGCCCAAAAGGAGUUACCUGGAGAUGGUAGUGAGGACGGAUCACUCCUGAGAUAGGGGCAUAAGAGGAAGAAGAGCCCCAGUCCACACACCAAGGCGAGGAUGGUUUCAUCCACCCAGGAAGCGGGUCUGGGGUGCCACCAAGGAGCACCCAUACUGUUCACAAAAGAGUGAAGAUUCUUCAUCUCUUCACAAGGCUUUCACAGGAGAUAGCACUGUUACCCUCAGGAUGUCCUUUAGAUUCCUCCACAUGGUUGCAAAUCUUAACUCUGUUUUUCCCAUGUGGUAAGUUUUUGACGUUCCUCAACCCAGAAAUGGAAUCUUAUUUUAUCCUGACUUAACGUUGAAUAUUUAAUUUGUGAUUGUUUCCAUCCACCUUUGCCAUCUUCACUCAGAACAACUGACACAAAAAUUCAAACAAAUGAUUUAUUACUUAAAAUUUACAAAACUCCAUAUAAUAGAAAGAUAAGUAAUUAAACAUCUAAACGAUAUGGUUUGUGUUAGUAGCAUUUAUACUUCUGAAGUUAGGAAAGCUUCACCAAGGCUU